UACAGAGGGGGCAAGCGUUGUUCGGAUUUACUGGGCGUAAAGGGCGCGUAGGCGGUCAGCACAAGUCAGUUGUGAAAUCUCCGAGCUUAACUCGGAAAGGUCAACUGAUACUGUGCGGCUAGAGUGCGGAAGGGGCAACUGGAAUUCUUGGUGUAGCGGUGAAAUGCGUAGAUAUCAAGAGGAAUACCUGAGGUGAAGACGGGUUGCUAGGCCGACACUGACGCUGAAGCGCGAAAGCCAGGGGAGCAAACGGG
rnacentral:rRNA from 1 species